UUUCCUGUGGCUCAGUCAGAAGAGUGUGGUUCUUGCAAUGCAAUGGUUGUGGUUUCGAACCCCUGGGAGAG